rnacentral:rRNA from 1 species
UACAGAGGGGGCUAGCGUUGUUCGGAAUUACUGGGCGUAAAGGGCGCGUAGGCGGUCUUGUCAGUCCCUUGUGAAAUCCCCCGGCUCAACUGGGGAACUGCAAGGGAAACAGCAGGGCUUGAGUUCGGGAGAGGGAAGCGGAAUUCCGGGUGUAGCGGUGAAAUGCGUAGAUAUCCGGAGGAACACCGGUGGCGAAGGCGGCUUCCUGGACCGAUACUGACGCUGAGGCGCGAAAGCUAGGGGAGCAAACGGG